GGUGAGAUGGCCGAGCGGUCUAAGGCGCCAGCUUAAGGUGAACAUCACUUCGCUGGUCCGAAAGGGCAGGGGUUCGAAUCCCCUUCUCAUCA